rnacentral:rRNA from 1 species
AACUUUCAGCAACGGAUCUCUUGGCUCUCGCAUCGAUGAAGAACGCAGCGAAAUGCGAUAAGUAAUGUGAAUUGCAGAAUUCAGUGAAUCAUCGAAUCUUUGAACGCACCUUGCGCUCCUUGGUAUUCCGAGGAGCAUGCCRGKUUGAGUGUCA